AUUGAACGCUGGUGGCAGGCCUAAUACAUGCAAGUCGAGCGGAUGAAGGGAGCUUGCUCCUCGCUUCAGCUGCGGACGGGUGGGUGAGGCCUAGGAAUCUGCCUGGUAGAUGGGGCUAACGUAACGACACGAGCGCUAAUAUCGCAUAGGUCAUGAGGGUGAAAGGGGGGGUUCUUCGGAGCUAGCGCUAUCAGAUGACCCUAAGUGGGAUUAGCUAGUUGGUUAGGUAAAGGCGUACCAAGGCGACGAUCCGUAGCUGACCUGAGAGGGUGAUCAGCCACACUGGAACUGAGACACGGCCCAGACUCCUACGGGAGGCAGCAGUAGGGAAUAUUGGGCAAUGGGCGAAAGCCUGAUCCAGCAAUGCCGCGUGUGUGAAGAAGGUCUUCGGAUCGUAAAACUCUUUUAGUAGGGAAGAACAGCAGUGAGAGAAAAUCUGGCUGUCUUGACGUUACCAAAACAGAAAGCACCGGCUAACUACGUA
rnacentral:rRNA from 1 species